rnacentral:rRNA from 1 species
GCCAUGGGGCCUCCUACCGUGCGAGUCGAGCGGCAGCGACUUAACUGAACCUUCGGGGAACGUUGAGGGCGGCGAGCGGCGGACGGGUGAGUAAUGCCUGGGAAUAUGCCCUGAUGUGGGGGAUAACUAUUGGAAACGAUAGCUAAUACCGCAUAAUCUCUUCGGAGCAAAGAGGGGGACCUUCGGGCCUCUCGCGUCAGGAUUAGCCCAGGUGGGAUUAGCUUGUUGGUGAGGUAAUGGCUCACCAAGGCAACGAUCCCUAGCUGGUCUGAGAGGAUGAUCAGCCACACUGGAACUGAGACACGGUCCAGACUCCUACGGGAGGCAGCAGUGGGGAAUAUUGCACAAUGGGGGAAACCCUGAUGCAGCCAUGCCGCGUGUGUGAAGAAGGCCUUCGGGUUGUAAAGCACUUUCAGUAGGGAGGAAGGUAGUGUAGUUAACACCUGCAUUAUUUGACGUUACCUACAGAAGAAGCACCGGCUAACUCCGUGCCAGCAGCCGCGGUAAUACGGAGGGUGCGAGCGUUAAUCGGAAUUACUGGGCGUAAAGCGCAUGCAGGCGGCCUGUUAAGUCAGAUGUGAAAGCCCGGGGCUUAACCUCGGAAUUGCAUUUGAAACUGGCAGGCUAGAGUCUUGUAGAGGGGGGUAGAAUUUCAGGUGUAGCGGUGAAAUGCGUAGAGAUCUGAAGGAAUACCAGUGGCGAAGGCGGCCCCCUGGACAAAGACUGACGCUCAGAUGCGAAAGCGUGGGGAGCAAACAGGAUUAGAUACCCUGGUAGUCCACGCCGUAAACGAUGUCUACUUGGAGGUUGUGGCCUUGAGCCGUGGCUUUCGGAGCUAACGCGUUAAGUAGACCGCCUGGGGAGUACGGUCGCAAGAUUAAAACUCAAAUGAAUUGACGGGGGCCCGCACAAGCGGUGGAGCAUGUGGUUUAAUUCGAUGCAACGCGAAGAACCUUACCUACUCUUGACAUCCAGAGAAGCUUGAGAGAUUCGAGUGUGCUUCGGGAACUCUGAGACAGGUGCUGCAUGGCUGUCGUCAGCUCGUGUUGUGAAUGUUGGGUUUAAGUCCCGCAACGAGCGCAACCAUAUCCUGUUUGCCAGCACUUCGGUGGGGAACUCCAGGAGACUGCCGGGUGAUAAACCGAGG